rnacentral:rRNA from 1 species
AGUGAACGCUGGCGGCAGGCCUAAUACAUGCAAGUCGAACGGCAGCACAGCAGAGGUAACUCUGUGGGUGGCGAGUGGCGAACGGGUGAGUAAUACAUCGGAACGUACCCUGUUGUGGGGGAUAACUACGCGAAAGCGUAGCUAAUACCGCAUACGCCCUGAGGGGGAAAGCGGGGGACCCUAAAUAGAGCGCACUGGGGAGUGCGUUGUAUUUAGGGCCUCGCGCAAUAGGAGCGGCCGAUGUCGGAUUAGCUAGUUGGUGAGGUAAAGGCUUACCAAGGCGACGAUCCGUAGCUGGUCUGAGAGGAUGAUCAGCCACACUGGGACUGAGACACGGCCCAGACUCCUACGGGAGGCAGCAGUGGGGAAUUUUGGACAAUGGGGGCAACCCUGAUCCAGCCAUG